rnacentral:rRNA from 1 species
UACGUAGGGGGCAAGCGUUGUCCGGAAUUAUUGGGCGUAAAGAGCGCGUAGGCGGUCCGAUAAGUCGGCUGUGAAAGUCAGGGGCCCAACCCUUGAAAGCCGGCCGAUACUGUCGGACUAGAGUCCGGAAGAGGCAAGUGGAAUUCCCGGUGUAGCGGUGAAAUGCGCAGAUAUCGGGAGGAACACCAAUGGCGAAGGCAGCUUGCUGGGACGGUACUGACGCUGAGGCGCGAAAGCGUGGGGAGCAAACAGG